UCAGACUGAAAAUGACCCGAUGCGUGUCAGUGGUGUUGGGUCAAAUAACCGGGCCUACAGUAAACAUGGGCUCGUAAAGCUUAUUGCGCGUCAGACUGUGACGCCGUGAUGAAACCCACGGUCCAACAUGA